ensembl:ncRNA lncRNA:CR44082 long non-coding RNA:CR44082
CCAAACAAAAAAAAGUCAACCAUAAACAAUUAACUAAAAAUAAAGAAAACCCAAGUAAGAGUCAGAAACUGAAGCGUGUGGCAUGCAGUAAUGAGGAUUUACGAAAGGCGGUGACCAUAGGGCUGUGGAUCGCGAUCCCGAACGUGACAUCAGCACAUGGCUCGAAACACCCGGGAAAUUCAGGUAGGAGAAUAAAAACCUCGGAGCCCAUUUCGUGGAAGGCUAAACAUUCUGGAAGGAGGCAACGAGACGAGAGACGCCUGUCAUUAAGUGGCAGGCGCCAGGGACAGGAAACUGAAUUAGUGCCACCUACGCGCUGCUGCCACGCCCACAGCGCCCACGCGUGUCCUCCUCCGCAGGAUGUAAAUUGACUUGACUGCAGCGCAAAAAAAAAAACGAGAAAA